rnacentral:rRNA from 1 species
UACGAAGGGUGCAAACGUUGCUCGGAAUCAUUGGGCGUAAAGCGCACGUAGGCGGCUUGCCAAGUCGGACGUGAAAUCCCUCAGCUCAACUGAGGACGUGCAUCCGAAACUGGCGAGCUUGAGUACUGAAGAGGAUCGCGGAAUUCCCGGUGUAGAGGUGAAAUUCGUAGAUAUCGGGAGGAACACCAGUGGCGAAGGCGGCGACCUGGACAGGAACUGACACUCAACUACGAAAGCGUGGGGAGCAAACAGG